GCUGACCAAACAAGCCUGGCUGUAUGAUCAUAAAUGUAAGUUUUGAAUAACUUUGCAAUAUAAUUUCUGAGGUAUUUAUGUGGCAAGGAUCUUAAUAUGUGAUUAUUUGCAGUAUCCCUGAUCAAACCAACUUCUUCGAAAGUGAGAGAUUUGGGAGAUUUUCUGGCGGGGAGGACUUCGGAGGAGAACGAAGAGCUUCCUACUGAAGAGCCUUCCCGAACCGACCCCCCCACCUCCGAC
rnacentral:lncRNA from 1 species